AACUUGCUAAUUUGCUCUGCAAGUCUCUCUUUUUUACACAAUGUACAAUCUUGGACGGAGAACUCCACUUCUGCUCGCUCUCUUCGCUCUCUCAGCCAUAGCCAUUGUAUCUCUCACAUUCUUCACUCUCUCAAACAACCAAGAAUCUUCCUCAAAAACAGUACAAAGAACCCAACAUAUUCACGUUCAACAUGUAGUUGAACUUUUAAUUUUUAUUGGUGAAGGCGUCUAGCCUGAGUUCUAGUUCAACAUGUAGUUAAACUUGUAAUUUUUGUUGGCGAAGGCGCAUAGCCUGAGUCUCAGUUCAACUUGUAGUUGAACUUGUAAUUUUUGUUGGGGAAGGCACAUAGCCUGAGUCUCAAUUCAACUUGUAGUUGAACUUGUAAUUUUGUAUGGCGAAGGCGUAUAACCUGAGUCUCAGUCAGCUUGUAGUUGAACUUGCAAUUUUUUAUGGCGAAGUCACGUAGCCUGAGUUCUGGUUCAACCAUAAUUGAACUUGUAAUUUUUCUUGGCGAAGGCGUCUAGCCUGAGUCCUAGUUUAACCUGUAGUUGAACUUGUAAUUUUUGUUGGCGAAGGCGCAUAGCCUGAAUCCCAUUUCAACUUGUAGUUGAACUUGCAAUUUGUGAUGGUGAAGAAACGUAGCCUGAGUUCUGGUUCAACCGUAGUUGCAUGGUUCGCAGUUGGAGAUGUCUUUUGGCCAUUUUCCGGCAAGAUCCUGUAUCAGGAUACGAGGGUACCUGACAUGUGUUAUCCCCGAGGGGGCUUACAUCUUCUUCCUCUUCUAGCACUCAUUCGAGAAUAGAGGGGUAAGGGGUUCAGGUUCUUGUCGAAGCCUUUGGGUUCCCCUUAUCCGAUGUGCUGCUUUGGCUCGUUUGAGUUGGGUUGCUUUCCCUUUCCAGCGUUUGUUCCUCUUGGCCCAGGGAAGAACUAUGCUAUUCUGCUAUGAAAUUCCCACAGACGUUUUGCCUUUCUGGCAUUUCGUUCCUUUUGGUCCAGGGAAGAACUAUGCGAUUCUGCUAUGAAAUCCCCACAGACGAUGUCAAAUUUUUCAGCUCAAAGUUAUCAGACACUUUGCAAGCAUAAAACAAUCAAAAAUAAAUCAAAAGGCCAAUCAUAGCAGAUUGUAAUAAAUCAUGGGACCAAGUAAAAGAAACGAAAAGCAAGUGUUGUCAAUUAAGGAGAAAGGUGUAAA
rnacentral:lncRNA from 1 species